rnacentral:lncRNA from 1 species
CUUUUGCCGCCUGCCUGGAGCGAAAACAGCGACGGGAGAAGGAAUGUGGGGUCACGGCCGCCUUCGAUGCCAGCCGCACCAGCUUCGCCCGCGAGGGCUCCUUCCGCCUGUCUGGGGGUGGGCGGCCUGCUGAGCGAGAGGCCCCGGACAAGAAGAAAGUGCCUGAGAUGGAGCCUCCUGGUGCCGGCGACAGUGACAGCAUCAACGCUCUGUGCACACAGAUCAGUUCAUCUUUUGCCAGUGCUGGAGCGCCAGCACCAGGGCCACCACCUGCCACAACAGG